rnacentral:rRNA from 1 species
GAUGAACGCUGGCGGCGUGCCUAAUACAUGCAAGUCGAGCGAACGGACGAGAAGCUUGCUUCUCUGAUGUUAGCGGCGGACGGGUGAGUAACACGUGGAUAACCUACCUAUAAGACUGGGAUAACUUCGGGAAACCGGAUCUAAUACCGGAUGAUAUUUUGAACCGCAUGGUUCAAAAGUGAAAGACGGUCUUGCUGUCACUUAUAGAUGGAUCCGCGCUUCAUUAGCUAGUUGGUAAGGUAACGGCUUACCAAGGCAACGAUGCAUAGCCGACCUGAGAGGGUGAUCGGCAACACUGGAACUGAGACACGGUCCAGACUCCUACGGGAGGCAGCAGUAGGGAAUCUUCCGCAAUGGGCGAAGGCCUGACGGAGCAACGCCGCGUGAGUGAUGAAGGUCUUCGGAUCGUAAAACUCUGUUAUUAGGGAAGAACAUAUGUGUAAGUAACUGUGCACAUCUUGACGGUACCUAAUCAGAAAGCCACGGCUAACUACGUG